rnacentral:tRNA from 1 species
GUCUGGUUAGCUCAGUGGUAGAGCAAAAGACUGAAAAUCUUUGGGUCAGAGAUUCAAAUUCUCUAUCAGACA